GUGCCCAAUCCCACAGCACAUAGAGUAAAAUUGGAAUGAUACAAAGAAGUUAGCAUGGUGUCUGCAUAAGGGUGACACACAAAUUCAUGAAACAUCUCAUAUUUUA